rnacentral:tRNA from 1 species
GCCUUCGUGCUGUAGUGGUCAGCACGCUCGAUGCGUAACCGAGAGGUCCGUGGUUCGAUUCCCGGCGAGAGUG